rnacentral:rRNA from 1 species
UACGUAGGUGGCAAGCGUUGUCCGGAUUUAUUGGGUUUAAAGGGUGCGUAGGCGGCUUUGUAAGUCAGUGGUGAAAUAUGGCAGCUCAACUGUCAAGGUGCCAUUGAUACUGCAGAGCUUGAGUACAGAUGAGGUAGGCGGAAUUGACGGUGUAGCGGUGAAAUGCUUAGAUAUCGUCCAGAACACCGAUAGCGAAGGCAGCAUACUAAGGAGUAACUGACGCUGAGGCACGAAAGUGUGGGGAUCAAACAGG